rnacentral:rRNA from 1 species
UGGGGGAUAUUGCACAAUGGGCGAAAGCCUGAUGCAGCGACGCCGCGUGGGGGAUGAAGGCCUUCGGGUUGUAAACUUCUUUUGCUCUGAACAAGGCAUGCUAAUGGGUGUGUUGAGUGUAGGGGUUGAUUAGCGCCGGCUAACUACGUGCCAGCAGCCGCGGUAAUACGUAGGGCGUGAGCGUUGUCCGGAAUUAUUGGGCGUAAAGGGCUUGUAGGUGGCUGGUUGCGUCUGUCGUGAAAGCUCAUGGCUUAACUGUGGGUUUGCGGUGGGUACGGGCUGGCUUGAGUGCAGUAGGGGAGGCUGGAAUUCCUGGUGUAGCGGUGGAAUGCGCAGAUAUCAGGAGGAAUACCGGUGGCGAAGGCGGGUCUCUGGGCUGUUACUGACACUGAGGAGCGAAAGCAUGGGGAGCGAACAGG